rnacentral:rRNA from 1 species
AGCAGCCGCGGUAAUUCCAGCUCCAAUAGCGUAUAUUAAAGUUGUUGCAGUUAAAAAGCUCGUAGUUGAAUUUCGGGAUCAAUAUAUCGGUCGUGCCUUGGUACGUACUGGUAUCAUUGGUUUCUCCUUUCUGACGAACCAUGAUGUCAUUAAUUUGGUGUUAUGGGAAAUUAGGACUGUUACUUUGAAAAAAUUAGAGUGUUUAAAGCAGGCUUUAGCUUGAAUACAUUAGCAUGGAAUAAUGAAAUAGGACGUUCGAACCUAUUUUGUUGGUUUCUAGGAUCAACGUAAUGAUUAAUAGGGAUAGUUGGGGGCAUUAGUAUUCAAUUGUCAGAGGUGAAAUUCUUGGAUUUAUUGAAGACUAACUACUGCGAAAGCAUUUGCCAAGGAUGUUUUCAUUAAUCAAGAACGAAAGUUAGGGGAUCGAAGACGAUCAGAUACCGUCGUAGU